rnacentral:rRNA from 1 species
GACGAACGCUGGCGGCGUGCCUAAUACAUGCAAGUAGAACGCAGUUGCGAACGGGUGAGUAACGCGUAGGUACCUGCCUCAUAGCGGGGGACAACUAUUGGAAACGAUAGCUAAUACCGCAUCCUGUGAGAUGGACCCGCGUUGUAUUAGCCAGUUGGUGAGGUAAAGGCUCACCAGGGCGACGAUACAUAGCCGACCUGAGAGGGUGAUCGACGGAGCUGGUACUGAGACACGACCCGGAGGCUUACGGUAGGCAGCAGUAGGAAAUCUUCGGCAAGGGAAGGAAGUCUGACCGGGCAACGCUGCGGGAGUGAAGAGGGUUUGCGGAUCGUAAAGCGCUGUUGUUAGAGAAGCGGUAACUAACCAGAGAGGGACGGCUGACUAGGUGCCAGGAGCCGCGGUAAUUG